ensembl:rRNA 5S_rRNA 5S ribosomal RNA
GCCAGCAGCUAGCUCUCUGCAACUCUCACAUGGUUGCCCACUGAAGUUAAGCAGGGCAGUGCCCGGUCAUUAGCUGGAUGGGAGACCGCAUGAGAAAUCUAGGUUGCUGCUGGAA